GAUGAAGAACGUAGCGAAAUGCGAUAAGUAGUGUGAAUUGCAGAAUUCAGUGAAUCAUCGAAUCUUUGAACGCACAUUGCGCCCUUUGGUAUUCCUUAGGGCAUGCCUGUUCGAGCGUCAUUUGAAACCUCAAGCUCAGCUUGGUGUUGGGUGUCUGUCCCCGCCUCCGCGGGGACUCGCCUCAAAAUCAUUGGCGGCCGGUACGUUGGCUUCGAGCGCAGCAGAAACGCGAACUCGAGGCCCGGCGGAUCGGCGACCAGAAGUCUCUUCUUCACAGUUUGACCUCGGAUCAGGUAGGGAUACCCGCUGAACUUAAGCAUAUCAAUAAGCGGGGA
rnacentral:misc_RNA from 1 species